rfam:Setaria italica strain Yugu1 chromosome IX, whole genome shotgun sequence.
GCAAGCGUAGUUCAGUGGUAAAACAUUUCCUUGCUAAGGAGAAGAAACGGGUUCGAUUCCUGUCGCUCACC